rnacentral:rRNA from 1 species
AGGAUGAACGCUGGCGGCGUGCUUAACACAUGCAAGUCGAACGGUGAAGUGAGGAGCUUGCUCUUUGCGGAUCAGUGGCGAACGGGUGAGUAACACGUGAGUAAUCUGCCCCUAGCUCUGGGAUAGCUCCGGGAAACCGGGAUUAAUACCAGAUACGACCACUUUAGACAUCUGCUGUGGUGGAAAGAAUUUCGGCUAGGGAUGAGCUCGCGGCCUAUCAGCUUGUUGGUGAGGUAACGGCUCACCAAGGCGACGACGGGUA